rnacentral:rRNA from 1 species
UGGGGAAUCUUGCACAAUGGGGGAAACCCUGAUGCAGCGACGCCGCGUGAGCGAUGAAGCCCUUCGGGGUGUAAAGCUCUUUCGGCAGGGAAGAUGAUGACGGUACCUGCAGAAGCAGUUGCGGCUAACUACGUGCCAGCAGCCGCGGUAAUACGUAGGCAGCAAGCGUUGUUCGGAGUUACUGGGCGUAAAGGGUGUGUAGGCGGUUCUUUAAGUUUGGUGUGAAAUCUCCCGGCUCAACCGGGAGGGUGCGCCGAAAACUGAAGGGCUAGAGUGCGGGAGAGGAGAGUGGAAUUCCUGGUGUAGCGGUGAAAUGCGUAGAUAUCAGGAGGAACACCGGUGGUGUAAACGGCUCUCUGGACCGUAACUGACGCUGAGACACGAAAGCGUGGGGAGCGAAC